UUGGGAGACGCGGAUAAGAAAUCAAGGACUUAUCGGUAGAUCAGCUAACUCGCGCUCUAGUCUUUCAUUGACCUUUUCUGCCCCUCGCUCUAUGAGGAUAUGUAUAACGUCUUAAUAAACACUACUAUAAGUAUACAAGAUGUGUUUCAGUGUUUGUAAUAAAGAAAAAAUAUUUUUGAAAAGAGUUUUAUGUUAAAAAAAUGGGAAAUAUUUUUCAAAAAUAUUGUAUACACAAAACUCAACAUUCGAUUUCAACCCAAGACCCGACUAUAAUCCUGAUUGAGGAUCCAAUUCUUGACUACGACUCCGAUCCGAGACACGAUUACAACCCAGACCCGAGACUCCAACUCCCCACCUGAGACCUAAAUCUCGACACUAACUCAAAACCCAAUAUCUAAAUCCCUAUCCCAACAUAAAGAGCCGACCAAGAAUUGAAUUUUUUUUUUUUUCUGACUUUUGAUUUGUCGUCGUUUUUUUUUUUUUCCUCUCGUAUUUUGGGUUUUAAAUUUUUAGUUUGGAUAGAACACAAAUGGCUAGGGCUUUGCUUGGAGCAUCAGCAAAACAAACCAGCUAUGGAAUGGAUACUGCCAGAAAGUCCCUUCCACUUCCGAAUACUCAUUUCAUCAUGGUGCUGUUGCUUUUGUUGCCGGGGGUGUAACAUAUUUUGCUGCCCUCUAUCUCGUGUUUGACACUAAGCUGAAAGAACUCAAGAAGGAAUGUGCUCGUCAAUGGAGGUGGGACACCCGAAGUUACGGAGUAGUGGCUAGUAGUUGUAGCUAUUUAGUAGGAUGCAAUUUUGAUCCUGUGCUAAUGUAUAUCCUACAUGUACUGAAAAAGACACGUUUUGUGGUUAUCACCAGUAUGUUUUAGUUUUAUCUUCAACGUUAUAGUCCUUAAUUUCUGUGUGCUAGCAAUUACCCUGAUGUUGAACAACCUUUCUACUAGUUAAUAUGUAAUUUAUUCUUAUGCACCUGCAUCGGAAACUGCUUUAAGCUGUUUAGUAGUUGGUGCCUAGUGAAAGUGGAUUGAGUUUCUGGC